UACGUAGGGGGCUAGCGUUGUCCGGAAUCAUUGGGCGUAAAGCGCGUGUAGGCGGUCCGGUAAGUCCGCUGUGAAAGCCCAGAGCUCAACUCUGGAACUGCCCUUGAAACUGUAUGGCUUGAGUAUGAGAGAGGUGAGUGGAAUUCCCAGUGUAGAGGUGAAAUUCGUAGAUAUUGGGAAGAACACCGGUGGCGAAGGCGGCUCACUGGCUCAUUACUGACGCUCAGGCGCGACAGCGUGGGGAUCAAACAGG
rnacentral:rRNA from 1 species